rnacentral:rRNA from 1 species
GCUCAACCAGGGAGGGUCAUUGGAAACUGGGAAACUUGAGUGCAGAAGAGGAGAGUGGAAUUCCACGUGUAGCGGUGAAAUGCGUAGAGAUGUGGAGGAACACCAGUGGCGAAGGCGACUCUCUGGUCUGUAACUGACGCUGAGGAGCGAAAGCGUGGGGAGCGAACAGGAUUAGAUACCCUGGUAGUCCACGCCGUAAACGAUGAGUGCUAAGUGUCAGGGGGUUUCCGCCCCUUAGUGCUGCAGCUAACGCAUUAAGCACUCCGCCUGGGGAGUACGGUCGCAAGACUGAAACUCAAAGGAAUUGACGGGGGCCCGCACAAGCGGUGGAGCAUGUGGUUUAAUUCGAAGCAACGCGAAGAACCUUACCAGGUCUUGACAUCCUCUGACAACCCUAGAGAUAGGGCUUUCCCUUCGGGGACAGAGUGACAGGUGGUGCAUGGUUGUCGUCAGCUCGUGUCGUGAGAUGUUGGGUUAAGUCCCGCAACGAGCGCAACCCUUGAUCUUAGUUGCCAGCAUUCAGUUGGGCACUCUAAGGUGACUGCCGGUGACAAACCGGAGGAAGGUGGGGAUGACGUCAAAUCAUCAUGCCCCUUAUGACCUGGGCUACACACGUGCUACAAUGGACAGAACAAAG